rnacentral:rRNA from 1 species
GGAUGAACGCUGGCGGCGUGCUUAACACAUGCAAGUCGAACGGUGAAGCCCAGCUUGCUGGGUGGAUCAGUGGCGAACGGGUGAGUAACACGUGAGCAACCUGCCCCUGACUCUGGGAUAAGCGCUGGAAACGGCGUCUAAUACUGGAUACGAACAACGGCCGCAUGGCCAGUUGUUGGAAAGAUUUUUUGGUUGGGGAUGGGCUCGCGGCCUAUCAGCUUGUUGGUGAGGUAAUGGCUCACCAAGGCGUCGACGGGUAGCCGGCCUGAGAGGGUGACCGGCCACACUGGGACUGAGACACGGCCCAGACUCCUACGGGAGGCAGCAGUGGGGAAUAUUGCACAAUGGGCGGAAGCCUGAUGCAGCAACGCCGCGUGAGGGAUGACGGCCUUCGGGUUGUAAACCUCUUUUAGCAGGGAAGAAGCGAAAGUGACGGUACCUGCAG